rnacentral:lncRNA from 1 species
GGAGCUGGAAAGGUGGAGGCGGAAGUGACUGAUCAAUUCAGGGGCGUGGGGUUCGUUUAGGUUUUGCCCUGUGUAUGACCUCGUUUGGAGCCAUGAAACCAGUGUCUACUCAAAAAUACUUGGAAAACUUUGCUCAAGGAUCUGAAGUCUCUCCUCACCUCUUGUCUUCUAAGAUACUGCUUCUAUCUCUGUGUGUCCUCUUUAAUAUCUAAUAAAACUAAAGUGGAUCAGAUGAUCAACAGCAUUACAUAAAUUCUAUAUAUCAGAUGAGGAAAAGUGAAGGUAAACCCAAAAAGCUAAGAAACAAUGUAAGGGAGGAGCUAAGAUGGCCGAAAAGGAACAGCUCCGGUCUACAGCUCCCAGCGUGAGCGACGCAGAAGAUGGGUGAUUUCUGCAUUUCCAUCUGAGCUUUGAAGAGAGCAGUGGUUCUCCCAGCACGCAGCUGGAGAUCUGAGAAUGGGCAGACUGCCUCCUCAAGUGGGUCCCUGACCCCUGACCCCCGAGCAGCCUAACUGGGAGGCACCCCCCAGCAGGGGCAGACUGACACCUCACAUGGCUGGGUACUCCAACACACCUGCAGCUGAGGGUCCUGUCUGUUAGAAGGAAAACUAACUAACAGAAAGGACAUCCACACCAAAAACCCAUCUGUACAUCACCAUCAUCAAAGACCAAAAGUAGAUAAAACC